GACUUGAAAGACAGUAGUCUUAAAGCACCAGAUCCCAUCUGAUGUUGGACAAUAAGCAAGGUCAUCCCUGGUUAAUAUCUGGAUAGGAGACUGCCAAUGAAUAACAGGCAUUGUAGGCU
rnacentral:rRNA from 1 species